GAGUAAUAGCUAUAAUUUCUACCUACUAGCCGGUUCCAGGUAAGGAAUAUCAUAGAAAUGUAUAUUCUUUAAAUAAUCAUCUCAUUGGUAUCUGUUAUUUUUUUCUCCAUUUAAAUCAAGGUCCAUUCUGAAGGAUAAGUAAUAAAAUUAAACAGGAUCUCCCAUUUCAGCACCAACAGUUAAUCUAUCUUUUCUAGAAUGGCUAUGCUCUGAAUUCUAUUUUGAUCUAGCUUACAUUGGUACAUUUUGACUUUAGGGCUUCUGUAUAGUUUCCAAUAUCCUUUAGAAAAUAUUUGAACUUCUAAAUCACUCUCCAGGCUAAAUGAAGUGAAACCGAGUUAAGUGCCAGGUUGAGAUAUUUGGACAGCAAACUCACACUCAUACUAUGGAGAAUCAUCUCGUUU
rnacentral:lncRNA from 1 species